CGGUCGCCGUCAUCUUUCUCUUUGCCGCUCUCCUCUCCUCGUCACGAGUCUUCCUUUCAGCUCCCUGUGCGUAAAUAACACCAAGAUGAUUCAUGAGAUUGGCUGGUUGGUCGAUUUAAUGGUGGCAGAACUUGCGGAUUCUACACGCUUUACUUACCAGCAUCGAGAAUACGUUGCUUGACAGAAUGUUGCCUUCCGUGCCAGAACUGCCACGCCUUAAUCUCGUCUUCUGGGCUCUUCUCUUCUCGGAACAUCAACAUUACUACGCUCUGUGCGACAAAACAUCAAGAAACACAUAAGUACUUUAUUAAGCGUGAUACUAUAAGGACAGAUGAAUGGUUUCCGCUCUGACGCGUUUACUUUUAUAUUUUUUUCAUCUUUUUUCAGCGACAAGCUUAAGCAACCUUUUUCGUUACCAACUCUUGCAAUUCCUGUUUUAUCGUUUUAUCGUUUAAAUUUAAGGAUGCGCAUAUCUUUUUACAACUAUUAUCACCAACUGUUUUUCUUUCGGUUAAAUUUAACGUAUAAUUGUAACUAUUAUCUUGUUCUGCAAUUUCUUUCGAAAAACUACUAAUAUGAGGCGAAACUACUCAUCUAUUUACAAUUAGCUUGAUUGAUAUCUGUAGAUCUAAAUAGCCACAGAUAUGUAAUAAUAAUCAACUCGCGUUUAACACAGAAGGUGAUGAUUACGAACAUUUGAUAGGAUAUAGAAUCACCGAUUGAACACAAAAGUGACUAUAAUUUGAUGCUUCGAACGCAAAUAUGUGUUUAACUUGAAACAACAAUCUUUCCUAUCCUUGAGCUUAUUUUUUUAAUUCUUAGAAAUUACAAUUGAGAUAUCGGAUAUUUAAAAGGGUACGUAAUAAAAAAUUAAUAGUGUGCCCAGAGAAAUAUGUGAAAAAGUCGAAUCGAGAGGUUAAAUCUUUCUCGGUGUAUCGUGUCGCUAUGCAGAAGUGAGUUGGAGCGUACGCACAAUUACAUGGAUCAUAAAUUACACGGUAGCGUAUAAUUAUGUAACGUAGAUUAUAGAUAGAUUAUAGAUUCCAACAUCGACAGGCUACAAUGAAUGGUCUAUCCGGUGCGUAUCCACGAAAUUUUUCAAAUUUUACGCAUAAUGACGAGCACCACGCUAUUCUCAGUAAAUAUCAUUUAUCCACAAUGAUUCUUGGAGGGACGAAACAAUGCUCAGUCGGUAACGGAACACCGUCGCGGAAUCUGCUGACACAUCGGUCGCGCGAAACGCGAAAUUCGCGUGAGCGUGACAUAGGACACGCUCGAGCGAGCAGCCGUGCACAUACACAUGCAUAUAAAUCACGCUGCACCAUAUAAUCCAGUAGCAUAAAUUGCACCAUUCGACACUACUAAUUCCCAAUAAACGGUCGUGUAUCCUUAGAUAACCGCGUUUUCAACAUUUUUUCAUUGGCAAUACGUCUAGUUGGGUGAUCGUGAUUCAUUGGUAAAAAUAUCUGAAACGGUGAAGUGUAAUUACAUUGAUUAAUUGAGAAAGACAACUUCCCCGCCAUUUUUCUAUUGCUUUCUUUCGCGCCUGAUAUCGAACGAUUAAUCGAACGUUUAAUCGAACGAUUAAUCGAACGAUUCUAACGUUCGAUUAAUAUGGCGAGUUUCGAUAGUUUGUAGCAAGUCGCGUUACGUCGCGUUGCAUCGUGUCGCAUCGUAUAAUUACGGAAUAUAAAGUUUUUCCAUGCAAAAUUGUGAAAAAAAAGUUUUAUAGUUCUUAAGAGUGUAUAAAAACUAAGAUAGAAGAUAUUCGAGAAUUUCGCCGCAGUCAAUUUAUCAAGGAAAUAUUGUUAAUAGUUUUCUUACGAGUGAGGCUAAGAGAAUAAAUCUUCUAAAAUGAUUGCAAUCAUUUUCGUUGAAGGGAUAAAAUUAUCAUCUUAGGUUUUAACAAGCUUGAAAAUUUUUAAAUAUUCGAAUGUUCAAACGCUGUAUAAUACUUGAUACUUAAUACGAUAUGUGAUAAUACGAUUUGAUAAAGAGAGAAAAAUUGUUAUUGGAAUAUUAUCAAAUUCAUAGUGGAAGUAUAUAAUACAUAGUGUGCGUGACCAAUGCGAGAGAAUAGAGACUUCUAUCGCGUAUUUAUACAGUUCCUUAUUGUCCCGCCGUUUAAACCAUGAGAUCAGAUAACUUUAACCUUCGCGAACCAGUUACAACACGUGUCCUCGGGCCAUUUUCGCGGGUUAAUGUUUCUACCGUGAGUUACAUACAGAUUGUCGACAAAUAAUUUAGAAUCAGGCAAUCAUUUAAUAGUGUGUCGGUGGUGUGGUAGUGCCAAUGAAAAAUCAGCGUUGCUCAGCCGCCAAUGAUAAGGCUUCACGUGAGCGUGACAUCGGUUGCCGCGACAGAAGCACGCUUCACUGCGCAGAUUGGUGCGCACCCGUGUUCGCUAGCGACGCCAAGAAGAAUUUUUCGUGAUUCGGGUGAAUGAACGAAGAAUUGUGUGCACCAAGGAAUACAGCUUUAUCGAUAGACCAAAGUUAACGUGAAAAAAGACGGAGAAAGUGUUCGUUGAGAGAGAGAAUCAGUUUGUGAAAGCAACAAGAGAAAUAUACGCUACGAAUAUCGACAGGCAUAACGAAUAAUACGUAAGAUGAAUAUGCAGAAGGAUGGAAGCUAUAAGAAAACAAGAAAACAAAAUGGGGAAAGUAGAGGAUAAGUUAUAACGCUACAGAGGUAGAAGAAAGAAAAGAAACAACAAUACCAGAGCAAAUGGGAGCGAACAAAGGAGAAGAACCACAACAGUAAAAAAGAAACGCGAGGA